rnacentral:rRNA from 1 species
AAUACCGGAUAAUGUCCCCGGACCAAAGAUUUAUCGCCUGGGGAUGGGUCUGCGUCAUACUAGCUUGUUGGUGGGGUAAUAGCCUACCAAGGCUUAGAUGGGUAGCGGGUGUGAGAGCAUGGCCCGCCUCCAUGGGACUGAGACACUGCCCAGACACCUGCGGGUGGCUGCAGUCGAGAAUCUUCCGCAAUGGGCGAAAGCCUGACGGAGCGACGCCGCGUGCGGGAUGAAGGCCUUCGGGUUGUAAACCGCUGUCAGUGGGGAGGAAAUCACUUCGGUGUUGACCGAUCCGCAGAGGAAGCGCAGGCUAAGUUCGUGCCAGCAGCCGCGGUAACACGAACUGCGCGAACGUUAUUCGGAAUCACUGGGCUUAAAGAGUUCGUAGGCGGCCAAGUCAGUCGGGUGUGAAAUCCCUCGGCUCAACCGAGGAACUGCGCCCGAUACUGCUUGGC